CCUACGGGGUGCAGCAGUGGGGAAUAUUGGGCAAUGGGCGCAAGCCUGACCCAGCAACGCCGCGUGAAGGAAGAAGGCCCUCGGGUUGUAAACUUCUUUUAUCAAGGACGAAACAAAUGACGGUACUUGAUGAAUAAGCCACGGCUAACUACGUGCCAGCAGCCGCGGUAAUACGUAGGUGGCAAGCGUUAUCCGGAUUUACUGGGUGUAAAGGGCGUGUAGGCGGGACUGCAAGUCAGAUGUGAAAACCAUGGGCUCAACCCAUGGUCUCCAUUGGAAACUGUAGUUCUUGGGUGUUGUGGGGGCAGGCGGAAUCCCGGGGGUAGCGGUGAAAUGGGUAGAUAUACGGAGGAACACCAGUGGCGAAGGCGGCCUGCUGGACAAUAACUGACGCUGAGGCGCGAAAGCGUGGGGAGCAAACAGGAUUAGAUACCCCGGUAGU
rnacentral:rRNA from 1 species